CCUGGCGUGGCUCAAAGCAGUGUUAAUGAGCAGAAGCUUCCAAAAACAGUGAAGAGCCACCCAAAAUGGAAUGCCUCCAACUGGUGGCCCAGCUUAAGGAGAAAGUGAGAGGAAAACCUUUCAUCUUCAUCUAUUUGGACCACAGAUGGAAUACGACAGGCUACUUUCCAACUUCCAACCCUGCCUCCCUCUCCCCAUCUGCAUCCCACUCCCACCUGUCUCCCACUCAUCCCCAAAUGCCUCCUAGCCCUCCCCAUCCUAUCUCCCACUUUCCACCCUGCCUUUCUCACCAUGAUAGACUCUAACAAAACAAGAUAAAACUUUCCUUUCCAUAAUUCUAAGAUAUUUUUGUUGGAUAUUUAUUCAAAGCAACAAGAAAUAUCACUGAUGCACCAAACAAUAUUUGGAUGAAGCCAUCUCCUAUCUCUCAACAUCCUCUAUCUGGGAGGAACAGACGUUUUUUCACAUCUCUGUUGGGAGCUAUUAAGACAACUCUUGAUCUCUGAAUUGG
rnacentral:lncRNA from 1 species